AGGAGGGCAGAAAAACGAACGACCCAACAAGAUACUGUGCGCAAUAUACGUGGAAAAAAUUGGAGAAGCCAGGUUCGUGCGUUGCAUUUGGAUGUUCGAACCGAAGAAAGAAAGGGAACUGCAUAAUAUUUCACAAGAAUACACUCAAGAGAGGAAAGGAUGUUACACACCACAUCUCAUUCCUAGAGCUGUGCCUACUGUCUUUCCUGGACAUCCUCCCUAUAAACAAACCCAUGGCUCAAGACUCCCAGCAAAACCAUGUACAACAUCCGAAAGUGUUCCCGUGCCUCCAAAGAAACCCUAUGACAUUACAAAAGAACAUGACUAUUCUUUUUCUGUCUGAGUUGAUUAGAAACUGAAUAUAACCAGACAGCAAGUGCAGGAUGCCAAGAAACAGCUUAAAGUGGUAAAACAAGGUAAACAGGAAAGAUGGAAAAACCAGGACUCUCUUGCAGGAAGUCCACGAAAGCAAGCUCAUUAGCCAGGAUCAGCUUGACCUACUUCAACACAACUUUGGAGAGAACGCAUUUUCAGGAAAAACAAAACGAAACAUAGAACUUCAUUCGUACAAACUACAAAGACAGAUCGGUCUUUUAUAUUUUGCCUCUUGUCUGCAUAGCUUAUCCACUGGAUGAUUGACUGUGAAGCCGUUUAAAACUGGAGAGAGCUUUCAAUAAUCUUUUUAAAAAACAGAACAAUCUGAGACUUUUGUUCUGUGUAAUGAAAUAAAAUUUGGGGGACACAUUGUGACAGUUGCACAACCUAACCAUAAUUUUCUGUUUGUUAACUUUACACGAAGGCAAACUAAAGUGGAACUUAGAAGAGUUGAUUACAUUAGGGGUUAAACAAAAUGUACUUGAAUUUUGAGUUGUUGUGAGGUACACUGUAUUUGAAUAUUUACUCAAUAAGCUUCAUGAUUGUACCUGCUGUAUCUGAUUCAGUUGCUAUAAAUUUUGCAAAUUAUUUGCACUCUACAUGUGCUUUGAUUCUGCAGGUACAGUAUGGAUAACCUGAGAUAAACAUGUAGACCUUUUUUUAUAACAUUGGAUUGCUCUCAACCAAGUGAUUUAUAUCAUUAAAGAUGAAAAGCAAGAAAUUCACAUCAAGUGAGCCCAUUUUCAAUAAACGAGAAGAAUUCACAGAUGUGUGGCAAUUGAAAAGCCUGUGUAAUGCACACCAUAUACACACCCAUAGAUCGUUUUGUACAUAGGUUUGACUUUUGUUCCAAAAUGGAAAACUGCUUUUGAAGAGAUUUGAUAACAGAAAAAUUAUAUGGAAUAAUGUCACUAGAUGUAAACCCAUAAGAUUGUGCACUCUUUGGCUUGUUGUAUCUACUGUGUACAUUCUGGGUAAUCAGUUUCAAAUUUAUUAUUAUACCUGAUGAAUAAUGAUGUCAAAAGACCAUGUUACUAUGAGGUUUCACUGAAUAGUGUAGUGCAGUAUCCUGAGAUGUAAGUCUCUUCAAUUAUAGUUCUUCAUAGCAAUACAGGUGACUUGGAAUAUAUAUGCUCAAUUACUAUUUCUGGUUUGCAUUUAUUACUCGAUGAAAUGUCUUUGUAUUAUUAGUAAAUGUGACGCGCCUGCGUGCGCUUGGAGCCAAGGCUAGUUAAUAAAGUGUUUGUUAUCGCUGACAUCUUGACACAUAGA
rnacentral:lncRNA from 1 species